rnacentral:rRNA from 1 species
CCUACGGGAGGCAGCAGUAGGGAAUCUUUCACAAUGGGCGAAAGCCUGAUGGAGCAACGCCGCGUGCAGGAUGAAGGCCUUCGGGUUGUAAACUGCUUUUAUAAGCGAGAAAUAUGAUGGUAACUUAUGAAUAAGGAUCGUCUAACUACGUGCCAGCAGCCGCGGUCAUACGUAGGAUCCGAGCAUUAUCCGGAGUGACUUGGUGUAAAGAGUUGCGUAGGUGGCAUAAUAAGUAGCUAGUGAAAUCUGGUGGCUCAACCAUUCAGACGAUUGGCUAAACGGUUAAGCUCGAGAGCGUUAGGGGUAACUGGAAUUUCUAGUGUAGGAGUGAAAUCCGUAGAUAUUAGAAGGAACACCAAUAGCGUAGGCAGGUUACUGGGACGGUUCUGACACUAAGGCACGAAAGCGUAGGGAGCAAACGGGAUUAGAUACCCGGGUAGUC